UAGGGAAUAUUGGACAAUGGGGGGAACCCUGAUCCAGCCAUGCCGCGUGGAGGAAGACUGCCCUCUGGGUUGUAAACUCCUUUUAUAUGGGAAGAACCGUCCUCAUUGAUGAGUGACCUGACGGUACCAUAGGAAUAAGCACCGGCUAACUACGUGCCAGCAGCCGCGGUAAUACGGAGGGUGCAAGCGUUAUCCGGAUUCACUGGGUUUAAAGGGUGCGUAGGCGGAUAUGUAAGUCAGUGGUGAAAUCAACGGGCUCAACCUGUUAACGGCCAUUGAUACUGUGUAUCUUGAAUAUGAGUGAGGUAAGCGGAAUGUUGCACGUAUCGGUGAAAUGCUUAGAUAUGCUACGGAACACCGAUUGCGAAGGCAGCUCACUAUUUCGUAAUUGACGCUGAGGCACGAAA
rnacentral:rRNA from 1 species